ACACGCACCCACGCACACAUGGCCGAGUCAGCACGCGCGUCCUUGUCAUCACGCUUCUAUCCCGAAGUCACGAUAAACCACAUCCUGUUUUUCUAACGGCGACGCAGCAACAACAGCGACGUGACGGACGAUGCUCGGUCGCGCGAUAUUCGCGAUCGACGGGAGCUCGCGAGCUUUCGUGGGGCGCACGCAUCCAGGAAUAUACGCACUUGCGUAAAAUUGUCCGACGACGAUUGGUCGAGGGAAGGAAACUCAAAUGAUUGCGAAGGAUAAGAGCUUGAAAAAUAGUCUCGUCUCACUAAUGAUGGGGACGAAUAUAAUCAAAGAAGAAAGAAGGUCGUUAGAUAUGCAAUCAGAAUAAAUCACAAGAAACAUCUUUGUUCGGAUGGUGCUGUCGAAACACAUCCGUACUCAAUCUGACUGAUCGCUCUAAACACUACUCGGAGGAUAUAUUCGUCACGAUUAUUACCUUGUGGAGAUGAAGACACGAAAGAGGAUACGGCCCUUUCCCUUCUUCGGAGCGUUGUCA